rnacentral:rRNA from 1 species
UAGCUAGUUGGUGGGGUAAAGGCCUACCAAGGCGACGAUCGGUAGCUGGUCUGAGAGGAUGACCAGCCACACUGGAACUGAGACACGGUCCAGACUCCUACGGGAGGCAGCAGUGGGGAAUAUUGGACAAUGGGGGCAACCCUGAUCCAGCAAUGCCGCGUGUGUGAAGAAGGCCUGAGGGUUGUAAAGCACUUUCAGUGGGGAGGAGGGUUGAUAGGUUAAGAGCUAAUUAACUGGACGUUACCCACAGAAGAAGCACCGGCUAACUCCGUGCCAGCAGCCGCGGUAAUACGGAGGGUGCGAGCGUUAAUCGGAAUUACUGGGCGUAAAGGGUGCGUAGGUGGUUGAUUAAGUUAUCUGUGAAAUUCCUGGGCUUAACCUGGGACGGUCAGAUAAUACUGGUUGACUCGAGUAUGGGAGAGGGUAGUGGAAUUUCCGGUGUAGCGGUGAAAUGCGUAGAGAUCGGAAGGAACACCAGUGGCGAAGGCGGCUACCUGGCCUAAUACUGACACUGAGGCACGAAAGCGUGGGGAGCAAACAGGAUUAGAUACCCUGGUAGUCCACGCUGUAAACGAUGUCAACUAGCUGUUGGUUAUAUGAAAAUAAUUAGUGGCGC